rnacentral:rRNA from 1 species
CAGCAGUAGCCGCGGGAACACGGAGGGUGCAAGCGUUAUCCGGAUUUAUUGGGUUUAAAGGGUCCGUAGGCGGACUUAUAAGUCAGUGGUGAAAGCCUGUCGCUUAACGAUAGAACUGCCAUUGAUACUGUAAGUCUUGAGAAUAUUUGAGGUAGCUGGAAUAAGUAGUGUAGCGGUGAAAUGCAUAGAUAUUACUUAGAACACCAAUUGCGAAGGCAGGUUACCAAGAUAUAACUGACGCUGAGGGACGAAAGCGUGGGUAGCGAACAGGAUUAGAGACCCGCGUAGUCCCUGUCUCUUAUAC